CACUGUGCAGGCUGAGAGCAGAGUUUGCAUUUGAAAGUACAGAGGGGAGAAAGCAAGGCUUUGCCAGACCCUGAUAAACUACUCUUCAGAACCGCAGGGUGGGAGAUAAGUCAGGUUGCCCGCAUUUGCAACCUCCGGCUUCAGGGCACACGGACGUGCUCACAACAUAGGUGCACUGCAGAACACAGUGGUGGGUGAAGAGUGUGGAUACUGAGGUCCAGGAAGCCAGAGUAUAACCCGGAAGACUGGAAAUGUUCAAGGAAAAACAGCCUAUAUGGGAGUAGAAGCUUCCUCCACCUACUUCUAUAGCGACCAGCCAAGAACUGCAGCUUCCUGUCGCACACAUCCUACCUCAGAGCGAGGUCUGUGCUCAGUCCAUAAGCUGUCUGAAGCUCCCUGCGCUUUCUUGAGUGACAGUCGCCUCUGUGAUACCUACGGAGAUGAUUCAUCGACGUGCUGACUGAAGGUGACAGUAAAACCCCAAGAUGGGUGAUACUUCUUUUAUUCGUUUUAUCUCUAAAUGGAAAUGACAUUAAGGAUGGCAGAAAUGAUAAGGCCAUAUCAAUGCUUGUGUGUAUAGAUGGGUAGACAGAGAUACAAUGACCCAGAUGCUAGCUUUCUAAUCCCUCAACAUUGAUUUACAUUAGGCAUUGUGUGUUCUAUGCGAAAUAUUAAACAGAACAUUUUGAUGCUACACAGAAUAAUUUAAUUGUUCUGAAAAACCUAUAUGUUCCAUGUAUUCGCCUUUAUUUUUCCCUGGUCCUUGGUUAUUAGUCUUUUUUUUUUUUUUCCUGUCCCACAGUUUUGACUUCUUCAUGAUGUCACAUAGUAGGAAUCAUAUAGUAGGUAGAUUUUUCAUUUCUGUUUCUUUCACUUAGUAAUAGGUAUUUAAAGUUUUCCCUAUGUUUUUGUGGCUUGAAAUGGAUUCCUUUUCAGUGAUGAAUAAAAGACCAUUGUUGGAUAUUCCACAGCUUCCUUGUUCACUCACCUACCGCGGAGAAUUUUGGAAAUUACGACUAAUGCUGCUACAAAAAUCUCAUUUAUCUAAAUCUUCCAAAGUGUCUGAAUAAUUUUGCAUUAAUAUCGGUGAUUUGUAAGAGUUUUUUGUUGCUUCAGGUCCUCAAAGCAUUUGAUCUUGUCAGUUCUUUGGAUCUUUCCUAUGCUGGUAGUUAUUAUCCAUCUUUUUGUUUGUUUUUGAGACAGGGUUUCUCUGUGUAGCCUGGGCUUGCUCUGUAGACACCAGGGUGGGCUUGAACUCUCUGGGAGAUACGCCUGUCUCUGCCCUCCCGAGUACUGGCAUUAAAGGCAUGUGCUACCAUGCCUGGCAAGUAUUCCACAUUUUACUCAUGUUUUAAAAUGGCUGCUUAGAUGUCUUUUUAAGAUAGAGACAAGCAGAAAUCAGGAACAACAACAACAAUCAAGAAGAAACCAAAUUAUUCAUUAUACCCAUUGCCCUAUCAGCUAAUUACUUUUCAUAUUUGGUAUAUUAUCUGUGUAUAUGGAUGUAUUUCUCUUUUUGUUUCGUCUAAAGCUGUGUGGAGAUCAGUUAAGCUAAAAUAAAAUUCAAAAUGUUCAUUCAUGGCAGAA